UUCCUACGGGAGGCAGCAGUGGGGAAUUUUGGACAAUGGGCGCAAGCCUGAUCCAGCCAUGCCGCGUGAGUGAAGAAGGCCUUCGGGUUGUAAAGCUCUUUCGGCGGGGACGAAACGGUCCGGGCUAACACCACGGACUAAUGACGGUACUCGCAGAAGAAGCACCGGCUAACUACGUGCCAGCAGCCGCGGUAAUACGUAGGGUGCAGGCGUUAAUCGGAAUUACUGGGCGUAAAGCGUGCGCAGGCGGCUCCUUAAGUCAGAUGUGAAAGCCCCGGGCUUAACCUGGGAACUGCGUUUGAAACUGGGGAGCUAGAGUGUGGAAGAGGGGGGUGGAAUUCCAGGUGUAGCAGUGAAAUGCGUAGAGAUCUGGAGGAACACCGAUGGCGAAGGCAGCCCCCUGGGCUAACACUGACGCUCAUGCACGAAAGCGUGGGGAGCAAACAGGAUUAGAUACCCUGGUAGUCCACGCCCUAAACGAUGUCAACUAGUUGUCGGGGAAGCAAUUCCUUGGUAACGAAGCUAACGCGUGAAGUUGACCGCCUGGGGAGUACGGCCGCAAGGUUAAAACUCAAAGGAAUUGACGGAA
rnacentral:rRNA from 1 species